rnacentral:rRNA from 1 species
UGAGUAAUGUCUGGGAAACUGCCUGAUGGAGGGGGAUAACUACUGGAAACGGUAGCUAAUACCGCAUAACGUCGCAAGACCAAAGAGGGGGACCUUCGGGCCUCUUGCCAUCGGAUGUGCCCAGAUGGGAUUAGCUAGUAGGUGGGGUAACGGGCUCACCUAGGCGACGAUCCCUAGCUGGUCUGAGAGGAUGACCAGCCACACUGGAACUGAGACACGGUCCAGACUCCUACGGGAGGCAGCAUG